rnacentral:rRNA from 1 species
UGGGGAAUAUUGGACAAUGGGCGAAAGCCUGAUCCAGCCAUGCCGCGUGCGUGAAGAAGGUCUUCGGAUUGUAAAGCACUUUAAGUUGGGAGGAAGGGCAGUAAGCGAAUACCUUGCUGUUUUGACGUUACCGACAGAAUAAGCACCGGCUAACUCUGUGCCAGCAGCCGCGGUAAUACAGAGGGUGCAAGCGUUAAUCGGAAUUACUGGGCGUAAAGCGCGCGUAGGUGGUUCGUUAAGUUGAAUGUGAAAGCCCCGGGCUCAACCUGGGAACUGCGUCCAAAACUGGCGAGCUAGAGUAGGGCAGAGGGUGAUGGAAUUUCCUGUGUAGCGGUGAAAUACGUAGAUAUAGGAAGGAACACCAGUGGCGAAGGCGACCACCUGGGCUCAUACUGACACUGAGGUGCGAAAGCGUGGGGAGCAAACAGG